GAAUCCUCACUAAAUCAUACCAUAAACCAACUCCUGCCAUGACCUACCAAUGCAGGCCAUACGGCCUUGAAACCUGAGCCAUGCAAAGCACUUUCUGCAAUCUGAUUAUCAGUGCGACUUUUAUUCUGGUUACUCGUUGUCCCAAUGUGUACUAUGUACCCAUUGAAUUCAGGCCACUUGUCCCCGGCGUUGGUGCGGUGUUUACUUGUGUGUUCUGCUUGCUGAUCACCGAGUACAGUAACAAAGCCAGAUUCAGCUGUGACUCUUUUGGAUUCCUGCACACGCCUGCUUGUGCGGAUCAGCCUCCUGACAGCUGGUCGUCAGCACUUUAAACUGUACAGCUGUCUCUGCCUCUCCCGUCCCUCCCUCUCCGUUCACGGCGGACGUCAGACACAACACAGGAGAGGCUUUUAAAAGCUUCUGUUUGGGCAGUGUGUCAUGUUUCAAGAAAACAUAACAUUCAAGAUGUGCUGCAUGGAAAAUACCGUCGCCAACCCGAACGGAUCCAAAUGGGAUCCUGAUUCCGGCUCCGUGGCGGGGACACUGACUCCAUGCAGCUGCCCUGGUAUUUCCUCUACGGGAACUGCUUCAUGCCGCUGUCAUCACGCCAUCAUCUUUCUGAAAAAGCAGAAGUGCACGCCUCAUGCUGGUCGCCUUUCUAACGAACUGAAUUGGUUUUUAUUGAGCUUCCUCUUUCAAACAAUUGCAAGCAUUCCUUUAA